CAGGUCUUGACAUCCUCUGACAACUCUAGAGAUAGAGCGUCCCCCUUCGGGGGACAGAGUGACAGGUGGUGCAUGGUUGUCGUCAGCUCGUGUCGUGAGAUGUUGGGUUAAGUCCCGCAACGAGCGCAACCCUUGAUCUUAGUUGCCAGCAUUCAGUUGGGCACUCUAAGGUGACUGCCGGUGACAAACCGGAGGAAGGUGGGGAUGACGUCAAAUCAUCAUGCCCCUUAUGACCUGGGCUACACACGUGCUACAAUGGACGGUACAAAGAGUCGCGAGACCGCGAGGUGGAGCUAAUCUCAUAAAACCGUUCUCAGUUCGGAUUGCAGGCUGCAACUCGCCUGCAUGAAGCCGGAAUCGCUAGUAAUCGCGGAUCAGCAUGCCGCGGUGAAUACGUUCCC
rnacentral:rRNA from 1 species